GGAGACACGUGGCUGCGCUCCGUACUAGUCAUGGCUGGCUACCUGAUUAGCGGGGGCACGUCCUACGUGCCUGACAACGGACUCACGGCACAGCAGCUCUUCAACUGUGGCGAUGGCCUAACCUACAACGACUUUCUCAUUCUUCCUGGGUACAUAGACUUCACUGCAGACCAGGUGGACUUGACUUCUGCCCUGACCAAGAAGAUCACUCUAAAGACUCCACUGGUUUCUUCUCCCAUGGACACUGUUACAGAAUCUGGAAUGGCCAUAGCAAUGGCGCUUACUGGUGGAAUUGGCUUCAUCCAUCACAACUGUACACCAGAAUUCCAGGCCAAUGAAGUUCGGAAAGUCAGAAAUACGAGCAAGGAUUUAUCACAGACCCUGUGGUCCUCAACCCCAGGGAUCGAGUGCGGGACGUCUUUGAGGCCAAGGCCCGGCAUGGCUUCUCUGGGAUUCCUAUCACAGACACAGGUCAAAUGGGCAGUCGCCUGGUAGGCAUCAUCUCUUCAAGGGACAUUGAUUUUCUUAAAGAGGAGGAACAUGACCGGUUUUUGGAAGAGAUUAUGACAAAGCGAGAAGACUUGGUAGUGGCCCCUGCAGGCAUCACAUUAAAGGAAGCAAAUGAAAUUCUCCAACGAAGCAAAAAGGGAAAGCUGCCCAUUGUAAAUGAAGAUGACGAACUGGUGGCCAUCAUUGCCCGGACCGACCUGAAGAAGAAUCGAGAUUAUCCCCUGGCUUCCAAAGAUGCAAAGAAGCAAUUGCUGUGUGGAGUAGCCAUUGGCACACAUGAAGAUUACAAGUACCGGUUGGAUUUGCUGUCCCAGGCUGGUGUGGACGUUGUGGUUCUGGACUCUUCCCAGGGAAAUUCCAUCUUCCAGAUCAACAUGAUCAAGUACAUCAAAGAAAAAUACCCCAAUCUCCAGGUUAUUGGAGGCAAUGUGGUAACUGCUGCUCAGGCCCAAAACCUUAUUGACGCAGGUGUGGCUGCCUUGCGGGUGGGCACGGGCAGUGGCUCCAUCUGCAUCACCCAGGAAGUGCUGGCCUGUGGGCGGCCUCAGGCAACAGCUGUGUACAAAGUAUCAGAGUAUGCACGGCGCUUUGGUGUCCCUGUAAUUGCUGAUGGAGGAAUA